rnacentral:rRNA from 1 species
AGUCGAGCGAACAGACGAGGAGCUUGCUCCUCUGACGUUAGCGGCGGACGGGUGAGUAGCACGUGGAUAACCUACCUAUAAGACUGGGAUAGCUUCGGGAAACCGGAGCUAAUACCGGAUAAUAUAUUGAACCGCAUGGUCCAAUAGUGAAAGACGGUUUUGCUGUCACUUAUAGAUGGAUCCGCGCCGCAUUAGCUAGUUGGUAAGGUAACGGCUUACCAAGACAACGAUGCGUAGCCGACCUGAGAGGGUGAUCGGCCACACUGGAACUGAGACACGGUCCAGACUCCUACGGGAGGCAGCAGUAGGGAAUCUUCCGCAAUGGGCGAAAGCCUGACGGAGCAACGCCGCGUGAGUGAUGAAGGUCUUCGGAUCGUAAAACUCUGCUACUAGGGAAGAACAAAUGUGUAAGUAACUAUGCACGUCUUGACGGUACCUAAUCAGAAAGCCACGGCUAACUACGUGCCAGCAGCCGCGGUAAUACGUAGGUGGCAAGCGUUAUCCGGAAUUAUUGGGCGUAAAGCGCGCGUAGGUGGUUUUUUAAGUCUGAUAUGAAAGCCCACGGCUCAACCGUGGAGGGUCAUUGGAAACUGGAAAACUUGAGUGCAGAAGAGGAAAGUGGAAUUCCAUGUGUAGCGGUGAAAUGCGCAGAGAUAUGGAGGAACACCAGUGGCGAAGGCGUCUUUCUGGUCUGUAACUGACGCUGAUGUGCGAAAGCGUGGAGAUCAAACAGGAUUAGAUACCCUGGUAGUCCACGCCGUAAACGAUGAGUGCUAAGUGUUAAGGGGUUUCCGCCCCUUAGUGCUGCAGCUAACGCAUUAAGCACUCCGCCUGGAGAGUACGACCGCAAGGCUGAAACUCAAUGGAAUUGACG